UGUGUGUGUGUGUGUGUGUGUGUGUGUGCUUGUGUAAGCUAGGCAGCAGAUUGCAGUGAUUUUCUGCCAGCUGGUCCGGCUGUGUUCUUGUCCCUGCCCUGCCAAAACACACACACACACACACACACACACACU
rnacentral:miRNA from 14 species